rnacentral:rRNA from 1 species
CCAUAAUGUAAACGAAUCAUUAUGAGCAGUAAUAAAAAUAAGUUAUAAACUCAAACUUUAUGGCGGCAAAUAAAAACUACAGGGGAACUUACUUCAUAAAUGAUAAUCACCAAGAAAUGUUACUUUCUAUUAUUUUUAGUUUGUAUACCGUCGUUAAAAAAGGACCCAUAAAGGGUUUUUAAGAUAUUUCAUUUUAAGGUAUUAUAACAGAUCAAGGUGCAGCAUAUAAGAAAGGAGAUCAGCGAGUUACAAUAAUAAUUUUAUUUCCAGCGAUAGGUAGAAUUGACCUAUAAAAAGAUGGACUUGUAAGUAUAUGUAAAUAUAUAUAAAUUUAGAAUAAGAUAUUUAUUUGUGC